UACGAAGGGGGCUAGCGUUGUUCGGAAUUACUGGGCUUGAAGCGCACGUAGGCGGCGUUGUAAGUGUCGGGUGAAAUCCCACGGCUCACCCGUGGAACUGCCCGGCAUACUGCGAUGCUAGAGUGUGGUAGGGGAGAGCGGAACUCCUGGUGGAGCGGUGAAAUGCGUAGAUAUCAGGAGGAACACCGGUGGCGAAGGCGGCUCUCUGGUCCACAACUGACGCUGAGGUGCGAAAGCUAGGGGAGCAAACAGG
rnacentral:rRNA from 1 species